GAACUGACAGGAUCAGAGACCACACCUCUUUCAUUGGAAUUAACAGGAUCAGAGGCCACGCCUCCUUCACCGGAACUGACAGCAUCAGAGGCCACACCUCCUUCACUGCAACUUCAUGUGCCACCUACAUGGUAUUAAAAGGUACAGAGGCCACACCUCCUUCAUCGAUACCUAAAGGCACGACAACAAAAAAACCUAAAGAACUCAUGUUUUAUCCUUGAGGGGCUUCUAUGUAGAACCUCUGAACAAGGGUUUCCUCAUCAAAUACAUCAAGUAGAACCAAAUUAGGUAUCUAAAACUCGAUCGUCUUUGAAAACACGAUCAGUGUCUACCAUGGCUAAAUGUAAUAAAAACGAAGAAAAAAAAAUAGGUGAUUUGAUUUUAUGCCUUUCUUUCUCAUAAUACGCUAUUAAAUCUAAUGAGUUUAUCAUCGGGGAGAACCGGUGGGAAAUCAUGCGUGUGAUUUGAUACGAUUUGCAUUUCUGUCGCCUGAUAAUCCAGCCUCCGUGAUUUGCGAGCAGGAUUUUAGGCACUGGAACGAGCUUCUCUUUCCCGGAACAAGCAGAUCGGUCUCUACAUUGGAUCGUGUCUGCCAAGCAAAGUGGAUUAGCCGCCCGCCCGCUGUUAUUGCGGCUUGAACGUUUCACUCCAUGUCCAGACUGGCCGUGGUGCUGUCGGAGCCUUGUGGGCUGUGGAGUGGAUUUGAUGUCGUCGUGGUUCCCGGGACCUCGACGUCGAGGAGCCGUCCUCCGACACACCGCAUCGUAUUUUCGAACCGCAAAUCAAAUCCCCGAGAUUACACGAAAUAAAAACGCGACCCGUUCACCAUCCUUCCACUUCCUCCGCACAGGGUCUGCUCCUCGGCAGGGAUGAACGACA
ensembl:lncRNA